UCCCAAAGACCUGUGUUGAAGGCUGCCUC
rnacentral:piRNA from 1 species